UCCAAGUGGGUGUUGGGGAAAGUGGAGUCCCUGAACCCUGGGACUGAUGGAUUAGUUCGGGUAGCCCGUAUUAAAACCAAUCGGGGCAUAUACAAACGCCCUAUCACCAAAAUUGCAAGGCUUCCGCAAACAGACGAAGGAUUCCUUGGACGUGCUACAUCAUCAUCAGAUGCAUCAGUCCAACCCGGGGAGGAUGUUGGAAAUUAAUUAAAAAAUUCAAUAAUUUAUUUCAUUUAAAAAUUUCAAUUCAAAAUUUCAACUUAAAUUCAAUGCCUAACUUUAAAUUGCUCAAUUUUUUAAAUUUCAAAUCUAUUUCACAGCCAACUUCACGUUACUUUUUUUUGUAAAAAUUUUUCAUACAAAAAGUUCAUGCUGCUCUGCCCUUCUUCUAACCUUGAUUACUCUUCAAGUGGCUGUGAGCGGAAAAAAGUUAAUCAGAAAAUUUGUCAGUUUAUUUGUGAUUUGUGGUAGAAAUAUAUCGGUGGUGGGAAAAGGAUAAAAGGUGAUUUUUAUUGCGCGAUCAGGAAGACUGGAAGGAAGAGAGGAAGAAGCCAGAUUGUGCGGGAACAAGGCAACGAUUUUAAUCGUCCGGAAGGCUUCUCUCACCGGGAAGGAAAUUUUUUCUGGUCCUUGCGACCACGGAUUAAUAAAUACACAUUUCUCGUUAAAGGUGAGGUCAAGGACAAGGCUGAGGGAAAGUAUAGGGGAAAUUGAAUCUAAUCUGUUACACCUUUGAAUAUCUUUAAGGUGAGGCCAAGGACAAAUCCAUCGGGAAGCUAGAGAAGGAAUUCUAUUUAAUUCGUAUCCUUUGAAUAUCUUUAAGGUGAGGUCAAGGACAAGGCUGAGGGAAAGUAUAGGGGAAAUUGAAUCUAAUCUGUUACACCUUUGAAUAUCUUUAAGGUUGGUCAAAGUACAUCCAUUUUUCUGGUCCGUCAUCGAGCCAUCGCACUCAAUCAGCUAUCGCUCCAACGGUUUCUCCAACGGUCAUCAAUCCACUCACAAUGGCCAAGCAGGUUCGGGAGGGAGUUGUGCAGGCACUUAUUCGGGUCGAGUCUUUUUUGAAGGGUAUCAGCGAGGCUGAUCUCCAAUACAUGCAACGAAGCGUCAUUGAGGCUCAAAUGGAACAAGUUGCCACAUUGAGGACACGAUAUGUGGCAGC